AGACGUCAUCAAGGCGCAGCCCCGUCGCGCCUGGUGACGUCCGGGGCGCGCGGGGCGUGAGGCGGCGGCGCGGUCCCGGGGCGGCGGGAGGGAGGCGUCUGAGCUGCGUCCCAUGGACCACCCUGCUACAGCACAGUGAGCAGGUGGCUGUGUGUCGCACAGUUGCCUACUGGAGUCAAACCGUGACAAGGAGGUUAUUUGCAUUACAACCCUGUAUCUACAAAAACAGGAGAAAAGCGCUUUCCAGAGAGAUGGAUAAGGAAUUAAUUAUACCUCUGCCUCAUCCUGUGAGACCAGAAGACAUGGAGUAACUGUAAGCUGCGAUUCUCAGGAGACAUACUAAGAGUCUCGGGUUCCUUUUCUGCCUGCCCCCCAAGGCCUUGGGCACGUUGGGUUCACCCUGGGAAGGGCACGUUGCUCAGGGCAGUUACUUCCUCCCUGAGACGACGUGGGGUGUGUUUUUGUGCUGCACUUGUGGUUUUCCACGUGGUUCGCACUGCUUCCAUUAUUGAGAAAACGGUUUGGGAAGCUGUGUCUGCCGUUUCUCAGGAUUUUCUGCCACCACCUGCUGGCAAAAAAAAAUCAGUAACGCAGGUGGAGCCAUGUAGGACUUCUCAGAGGUAAGCCUUCGACGUACGGGGACCCCUAAACUCGUGCGCCGAGCAUGCAAGACAAAAGUCCGUGGCACAAAGAUCAAGGACGACUUCUCAGAGAUCUCGAUUGGGUUGGCUUUUUUGUACCCAUCUGCACAGCCUUUUGUUUUUCAGAUAGUCUACUAAGGUGGGUCAGAGUCUAGGGGUUGAUGCGUUUCCAAGUUGAAAGAGAUAAGUACAUCUAUUUAAAGUAACAUCUAGUAGGAUCAUUUAAAGUAAACUAAUCUAUAUAGUAGUAGAUGCCUUUAUUGCAUGCAGCUCUUCUUCAGCAGUAGGUAAACCUUAGGAGGAAUCGGUCAAAGGAAACAGCAACUGUCAAGUUCUUGUUCGGCAAAAAACUGUCAAGUUCUUGUUCAGCAACUCGGUGACUAAUUUGAUCUACUUCUCAGAUGUAGAGGCAAAUGGACUGCUCUUUUGAAAUGAUAAAAUAAAAAACAUGAAGUUUGUCAAAUGUGGCAGUGCCUGUUUGCAUUCUGUUUAUUGCUUUGCCAGUGGUAGAUAACACUUAUAAGGAAUCGGUCAAAGGAAAGAGCGCCUUCUGGAACUGUGAAGCUCUGCGUUGGCAACUCGGUGACUGGCUUGACCUGCUGUCCAUCAUCAGAGGGAAGCGGACUGCUGUUUUGAAAAUAAGAAAUAAAAAAAAAUAUAUUAAAAAUUAAAAAAAAUUAGGGUGCCGCUCUGUGGCACCUGGAAGACUUCCACUCUGUGUGGCAGUUAAAAGAAUGUGAUUUGGAGAUGGAGAGCAGCAGGGGUAAAGCAGCUGGGAAGACAGCCUUGGAGAGGUGAAUUCCCCAUGUUGUGGAGUGGUGCAAAAAGUAGGUGAAGAGGUGCCUGAAGCCCCAUGCUGUGGAGCCUGAGCACGCCUCGCGGAGGAUGAAGCCUGCUUUCCAGCAGUUCCCAAAACUGUGUUGAGGCUGAAAUGCUGUGUCUGUGUUUGGGUUGGGGUUGCACCUUGGUGAGUGUAGGGAUGGGUUUUAAGUCGGUGCAGCAGAGGGCCAGGCUCCAGUGUCCUGUAGUGUGUUUUGACCCAUCAGCGUAGCCUUUUGGUUUUCAGAUAGCCUACUCAAGUACGUGAUUUUUCCUGCGAGUGAUGUUAUUACAUGGAAUUGACCUUUUUUUUUUUUUUUGGCGUGUAAUCUGUUAUGCUCCUAGAUUUUUCUUUCUUUGUAAAGAAUGGUUUGAGCUAAUUACAGCUGAAAAAAUUUCAGUUGCUUGCUUGUCAUAUUGUCCUUUCAAUAUUCAAAGCUGCAGCAAAAGCCUGGGGAUUGUUGCUUCUAGAAACACCCCAUUUCUCUUGUCUGCAGUCUGCAUGCUGUUGAGCUAAACCAGAAUAAAAAAACAAACAAACAAAAAAAACCUGCUGCUGCUCUCUUUCUACUUUCUUGUGCUUUGCCCCUCCCCUUUCCCAGGUGAUUGGGUUUGGGUGCUGGGCGGGGCCAAAUGGUAUAUGAGCCCCAGGUAUGCCAUUAGAGAGUUCAUUCUGCCUGGGCUGCUCUUUGGGGUAAGUGCUUUGUUUUUUCCUUCAGUCAGUUGCAGGGUUCUUUUGGCAGGUUGGAGUCUAUGGAUUUCUAGAUUUUAAGUGCUUGGAAAUCACUUACUAGAGGGAUAUUUAGCAGAGGUUGCUGGCUCACUUGUUUUUGGGAUGGUGGGAUACACUUGUGUUUUUGGGUUAUAUUUGAAUCUCUAGAUGUAUCAAGCCACUUGUGUAACUCUCCGGAGGACUAAAAAGAGCUUGAUUACACGCUACAAGAGGCUUGACCACAUAGGCACAGUAUUACCAAGAGAUUGAGGAGGGUCGUGUCAGAGUUACCUCUUUCAUCUGUAAAGGGUAAGU